rnacentral:rRNA from 1 species
CCCUUAGAUGUUCUGGGCCGCACGCGCGCUACACUGACGAAGUCAGCGAGCAUGUCCUACGCCGACAGGUGCGGGGAAUCUUGUCAAACUUCGUCGUGAUGGGGAUUGAUUAUUGAAAUUCUUGAUCAUCAACGAGGAAUUCCUAGUAAGCACAAGUCAUCAGCUUGUGUUGAUUACGUCCCUGCCCUUUGUACACACCGCCCGUCGCUCCUACCGAUUGAAUGUUCCGGUGAGCUCUUCGGACUGCGCGGUCUGCAGUUUCUGCGUUCCGUGCGGAAAGUUGCGCAAACCUUAACAUUUAGAGGAAGGAGAAGUCGUAACA